CCCUAUGGGGUGCAGCAGGCGCGAAACCUCUACAAUGCACGCAAGUGUGAUAGGGGGAUCCCAAGUGCUCAAGCAUUGCUUGGGCUUUUGCUAAGUGUAAAUAGCUUGGCGAAUAAGUGGUGGGAAAGACUGGUGCCAGCCGCCGCGGUAACACCAGCGCCACGAGUGGCAAUCGCGUUUAUUGGGCCUAAAGCGUCCGUAGCAGGUUUUGUAAAUCUCUUGUGAAAUUGCCGGGCUUAACUCGGCAACGUGCAGGGGACACUGCAAGACUCGAGACCGGGAAGGGUAUGAGGUAUUCCUGAGGGAGCGGUAAAAUGCUAUAAUCUCAGGAGGACCACCUGUGGCGAAGGCGUCAUACUAGAACGGAUCUGACUGUGAGGGACGAAAGCUAGGGGAGCAAACCGGAUUAGAUACCCGAGUAGUCCUAGCCGUAAACGCUGUGAGUUAGGUGUUGCGUAUUCUACGGGAAUGCGCAGUGUCGAAAGGAAGCUAUUAAACUCACCGCCUGGGAAGUACGGUCGCAAGACUGAAACUUUAAGGAAUUGGCGGGGGCGCACCACAAGGGGUGCGGCGUGCGGUUUAAUCUAACUCAACGCAGAGAACCUUACUAGAAGCGACGGCAGGAAGAAGGUUAGUCUGAAGGGCUUACCUGACGAGCCGAGAGGAAGUGCAUGGCCAA
rnacentral:rRNA from 1 species